rnacentral:rRNA from 1 species
UUAUAACUGUACUAAGGUAGCAUAAUAAUUUGCUCUAUAAAUUGGGGCUAGAAUGAAUGGUUUGACGAAAAUUAUACUGUCUCUAUUUUAUUUAUUAGAAAUUAAUUUUUAUAGUGAGAAAGCUUGGAUAAUUUAAAGGGACGAGAAGACCCUAUUGAGCUUAUAUUAUUAUUUAAAUUAAAUUGUGUUAUAUAAUGUUUAAUAAAAAUUUAUUAGUAAUUAAUUUUGGUUGGGGUGAUCAAGGAAUAAAAAUUAGUUUUAGAAAUAACUUCCUUAAGCAUAUAAAUAUUUAUAGGGUGAUAAACCAAGUUUUUUGCUUAUAAGAUAAGUUACCAUAGGGAUAACAGCGUAAUUUUUUUUGAGAGUUCAUAUUAAAAAAAAAGAUUGCGACCUCGAUGUUGGAUUAA